CCCAGAUAGCCCUGAUCUGGGUGAACAACAUAUCCAAAAAUCACCCAGAUCACAGCAGAGGUUCAGGAAAUUCCUGGAAGUCUCUUUUUGACCGGCCACAAGCAUGGCUUCAUGCCCAAAAUAGGGAAUUAGGCUGUGCGGCCGGUCUAUUUCACAUAGUUCCAAUACAGUUCGAAUAUACGAACUGAGCCAUUCGUGCAUACAGUAUUACUUGGAAGUUGGUUUGGUAGAUUACUUCUACAGAACGGUGCUCUGUUCGUAUGCAUUUUAGUGAACUUGUAUGGAGGUGGAAGUCCCAACGGUGUUGGUGCCGCCAAAUGUCCGAUUUUAAUUCCAUGAACUCAACGGCAAAACACCGCUGACCACAUUUGGCUAAACAAGAUGACCGCUGCCACGUGUUCGGCUUUACAAACGGCAACCACCAAGCCGUUUGUGAAUUAGCUGCGGUUAACCACAGCUUCUGGGGGGUACAAACAGCACACUCCACUUGCGGUGGUCCGCCUGUUCGGUAGUUUGUUUGGAAACCCCAUAUACCGAACCACAUGGGGAAAAGGCACGAACAAAUCUUUCCACAGUCCUGGGACAAAGUUUUAGAGUAACCCUGGGGCAACCGGCUGGCAAAUAGUCC